AGUAACGAAGUAAAAAUUUACUAUUAGUUUCGACCUAAUAAUAAGGAUAUAUCCUCAUACUUUUA
rnacentral:tRNA from 1 species